rnacentral:lncRNA from 1 species
UAAAAAUAUUUGCUUCAGUACUGUCUACAGGCCAAGGUUACAAAAUAUUUCUCUCUCUCUCUCUCUCUUUUUUUUUUUUUAGUAUUCUUUGAUUUUUUCCUUGUUUUAAAGUCAUUGGCACUUUCAAAUUAUUACUACAUGCAUUCUGAGAUACGACCUGCUAUUUUCUUUUAAUUUUAUUGAUUUUCUAUCCUUUUAAUGUCUAUUACACAGUUGGCCUGUGUUAAUAUCUUCAGAAAAAAAAGGUCAAAUCUAUCAAAUAAGAGAAAACAAGCGUCUUAAAAUCAAAUCAAGAUAGGCUAAAACAACAUGAUUCUGUAUGAUGAUAUACUGAUUUUUUUAUUGUAAGUACCAUUUGAGUAAUUAAGAUCAGAUUGUGUAUAUGUGCAUAUAUAUAUAUAUAUAUAUAUGCAUAUAUGUGUUAUAUGUAUAUGUAUAUAUAUUAAUUACUACUACUACAACUAGCUAUAUUCUAGUCCUGUUACUCAUUUAGCUCUUUUGUUUAAUUUGCUUGAUCUACAGACUCCCUUAAAUAGUCAAAAUGAAUUAUCUCAAGCAGCCAGGAAAGGAGGGAUAUUAAGCUUCUCUUGCAACACUGAGUGUCUAUGAAGCUUCACCAACACUGCUCUCUGUUAUGACUAUAUUGGCAUGUAUUGCCUGGACAGGAAGCUUUGAGUAGAAAAAUCUAUUUCCUCCUUAUGCUAUUUCCACUGUACAAAACAUCUCUUCCCCCCAGGAGAGCUCUGAAGUCCUUGGGAGAGACCAUGCCUUAUAUUUCCACUUGAUUCCCUCAGAAAACACUUAAUGAGUAUCUGCCAUAUCCAAGCACAAUCCUGGGAUCAAGAGCAGCAAAAUGUGGAAAUAUAAGUCUUGUCUUCGAGGAGCAUAGGGUGUAGUAGCGAGACAGACAGAAACAUUAACAGUGAUAAUACAUGUGACAGCCCUAUUCCUAGAAUCUCCAAAAGUUCAGAGGAUGGCCAUCCAAUUUGGACUGGCAAGGAUGUCUGUCUUGAGGAGAUAAAAUGGAAGGACAUUGUCCAUUUAGAUGGAGUGCUAGGCAAAUUAUGGAUGGAUAGUUGUUUAGGAAAAUCAUUAACAGAAUCUUAUUUCUGUUUAUCUUAUAAACACCAUGUCUUAAGGUUGAAUUAGUACUUACUUUAUUUGUGUUUUUCUUGGAAGAAGAAAAGAAAAAUGUCCUCUCCCUGAGAGUCCGUAUAAACAUGAAUUAGCAAAACCCUAACUUUUAAAUUGGCCAUUUUUAAAAGGGUGCAAAUGCCUGCUACCUUGCUUUCUUCAUCCAUCUAUUUUCAAAGGAGUUUGGACUUUAAUUAUCUGUUUGGAAUAAUCUACAGGGCAUCUUCUUUUGCACAUCAGACUCCUUCAGGACCUCCUUGGCGAAAUGACUUUGUUUUGAUUUGCUUUUUCUUUAUUCUUCUUUUACCAAAUCCUGACCAUAUCCCCCUGCCUCCAAAGUCCCCACUCAACACCUCCGCACUCCCCCAGAUCCACUGUUUCUCCAUAUUCUUUCAGAGAAGGUCUCCCCAGCAUUGGCCAUCCAAACAUGGCAUAACAUUAUGCAAUAAGACUUGACACAUCCCCUCAUAUUAAAGCUGGCCCAAGGCCACCCAGGUGGUUUUAAAAAUCAAAUCAAUCUCUUGAGGCUAGAAAUGGUGGUACACACCUUUAAUGCUGGCAAAUGGGAAACAGAAGCAGGUGGAUAGCUAGUUUAAGGCCAGCCUUUUCUAUAUACCAGGACUAUAUAGAUAUACCCUGUCUGAAAACCAGCUCUUGGGAGUUCUUUUUCUCUCUCCUGCCUUAGGCUACACUAGAUUGAAAUAUUGACUUCUGUCUUAUCCUUUCUCACUUGCUGCUUCUUACAAUGAUUUUUUUUAGGGGAGGGGGGCAUGCUGAUGCUGGUCAGAAUUCUGUGAAAAGAAUAGUGGAUCCAAUCUGAGCUAGCAUGGAAUUCCAUCUUACAAAUAUCCAUGAGUUUUGGUGGGUGAGCACACACAACCAACCGUGGUUGUCAUCAAGUUUGCCAAAGCUGAUUAUUUUUCAGCAAUGCUGUUGAACACUUGAGGUCGAGGUUUCUGUAUCAUUCAGCCGAAACUAUCCUCAAUUUUGCAGUCCCUUUGCCUCAGCUUCCCUAACAGCCUGGACAUAGGCAUGUGCCACCACACCCAAAUGAAGUUUCUGGAUAACUUAGCCAUAGACAGAACAUGGUGAUGUAAAUCAAUAUAAAAGGGUUUCAGGGAACAUUUAGGUUUUUUUUUCACAAAUAUAAUAUUGUGGCUAUCUAUAGAUUAUAUUUAUUAUAUUUAUCUAAUGAACCUGCCUUAAUUUUAUAGUACUGUAAAAUACUGAUAAUCAUAAAACAUUAGUUUAAAUCAGUAGUGGGUUGUAGUAGUCUUUUUUACAUUGUAAUCAAAUUGCUCUAAAUUAUAAAAUCAAUAAAACUAUUUCCCAAAGAAAUACUUCAUGCUGAAAUAAAAUACAUACAGAAGUAUAAGGGUUUAGAGGGAAAAAGGAUAUUUUUAAAAGUCAAGGGUUUUGAGCAAUAAAAAUGCUGCCUUAAGUUACUACCCAAUCUUUUCCAUUAAAAGUUCUUUCAGUUGAGAGCUUUAUUUACUUAUCAUCUGUCUAAAUAUACAUUUAUUCUUUUAGAACAUUUAGUUAUGGCCCUCCAAAGCCACUGACUUGAGUAAAGCUGUGAGCUCCUUCUGCAUCUCCAAAUGUGUUAGCAGUCAGAACAGUGAGUGAGAACAGUGACUGGAGCCAGUGACUAACAGACCUUCAGUCACGAGUCCAAUUCCCUUUGGACAGAGCUUGCCUUUGCAUGGGAAAAACAACUCAAAGUAUCC